rnacentral:misc_RNA from 1 species
CACGGUCAAAGUGUCACGGUACACAGUGUUGAAUGACGACGGUGGGCUGUACGAGGUGCUAGACGACUUGAUCGUAAGUGAACAGCAUCGAUUACUCGUGAGAAUAGCGUCAGACUACGAGGUCGACGAGAAAUUCACGCGUCGCGCCGACGGUACCAACAUGUUGCUGAAUUCCAAUGGAGAAUUGAUCGUCAGAUACCCAGACGGUACGCGUAUCACGAUUGGCUACACUAUAGAAAAGGAGCCAGUGAUGUGUGACUGGACCGAGG